AAACACAAGGGACAAUUGGCCAAGACAAUGAUGGACAAAACCAGACUGGUAAAGCUAUAGAUCCACAGAAUGUCACCGGAAAUAUCACAGGUGUAGAUAACAAGAGCCAAAAUCAAUCUAUUCAAGAAUUUUUUAAGAAUCUGGAGCUGUCAACAAUACUCACGUUUUUGGCGGGAAUGGCAACUUUAGCAGUCAUCUUCUUUGUGGUGUUGUGUUGUUGGAUGUCUUGCAACAGAUCCAAAAAACAUGAAGUGCUGGCCGCACCCCCAGACUCUGUAGCUCAUUUGGAG